rnacentral:lncRNA from 1 species
UGUUGUUCCAAUAGGGUCAGAAGCGUGUAAAUUAUUGUACUAAAAAAUCACACAAAGUUCAAUUCCCAGGGAAGAAAGGUGGAUCACAUGGAUCUCUUAAAUACCAAGUCUUUCCUUAGACAGAAUAUCCCUUCUAUAGUAAUUUAAUAGCACAAUUAAAUACUACUAUUAUACCCUCAAAUAUUGAAAGAAAAAUAGGACAAGAAAGAACACAAGAGAUUUAACGAGGUUCGGUAAAUUAUACCUACGUCCUCGGGCACUAACACCAGAUGAUAACUUUACUAUCUCCAAAGUAUUACAAACAAAUAGAAUUCCUUAAGAAUUCUCAAAUGGGAGAAGAGAGAAAACUAAGAGAGAAAGAUUGGUUGGGAUGAAUUGAAAUGAGAAAUGAGAAGGCCUAUUUAUAGUUGAGGUUUAAGGACCAAACAAUAAAUAGCCCAUUAUCUCAAGGACCAAAAAAAAAAUUAUCCCAUGCCACUUUUUCAAAGUCAACUUUAGGGUGCUAAACUUGCACCACUUUGUAUUGUUUGCCAUUAAUGUUG